rnacentral:rRNA from 1 species
AGUGAACGCUGGCGGUAGGCCUAACACAUGCAAGUCGAACGGCAGCACAGUAAGAGCUUGCUCUUACGGGUGGCGAGUGGCGGACGGGUGAGGAAUACAUCGGCAUCUACUUUUUCGUGGGGGAUAACGUCGGGAAACUUACGCUAAUACCGGAUACGACCUAAGGGUGAAAGCAGGGGAUCUUCGGACCUUGUGCGAUUGAAUGAGCCUAUGCCGGAUUAGAUAGUUGGCGGGGUAAAGGCCCACCAAGGCGAAGAUCCGUAGCUGGUCUGAGAGGAUGAUCAGCCACACUGGAACUGAGCCACGGACCAGACUCCUACGGGAGGCAGCAGUGGGGAAUAUUGGACAAUGGUCGCAAGCCUGAUCCAGCCAUACCGCGUGGGUUAAGAAGGCCUUCGGGUCGUAAAGCCCUUUUGUUGGGAAAGAAAAGCAGCAGGUUAAUACCCCGCUGUUCUGACGGUACCCAAAGAAUAAGCACCGGCUAACUUCGUG